GACGAACGCUGGCGGCGUGCUUAACACAUGCAAGUCGAACGGUAAGGCCCCUUCGGGGGUACACGAGUGGCGAACGGGUGAGUAACACGUGGGUAAUCUGCCCUGCACUUCGGGAUAAGCCUGGGAAACUGGGUCUAAUACCGGAUAUGAACUCCUGCCGCAUGGUGGGGGUUGGAAAGUUUUUCGGUGCAGGAUGAGCCCGCGGCCUAUCAGCUUGUUGGUGGGGUAAUGGCCUACCAAGGCGACGACGGGUAGCCGGCCUGAGAGGGUGAUCGGCCACACUGGGACUGAGACACGGCCCAGACUCCUACGGGAGGCAGCAGUGGGGAAUAUUGCACAAUGGGCGAAAGCCUGAUGCAGCGACGCCGCGUGGGGGAUGACGGUCUUCGGAUUGUAAACCCCUUUCAGUAGGGACGAAGCGCAAGUGACGGUACCUGCAGAAGAAGCACCGGCUAACUACGUGCCAGCCGCCGCCGUAACAC
rnacentral:rRNA from 1 species